rnacentral:sRNA from 1 species
GAGGACACGAGUAACUGAUAAAGGUCAAAUGCACAUUAAACUUAACGCACAA